CCAGAAUUAGAUGACGUCACGUAGACACGUUUCUUUACGAGGUUUGGAUUGUAAACACCUCAACGUUUCACCAUGGCGGACGCCUUUUUUGUGUGUGACAUGAGUGGAACCUAUUUGGUCACACCCACGCCUUUUGGCUUGUUUUAGCAGACCGAGUGGAGGAUUUUGUUGUUUUUAAAGAAGCUCGCAGCUCUUCGAGACAUUCGCUGUGGGUUUUAUCUUAUUUUUUGUUGUCAUCAUGCAUGUCAACAAAAUGUACCUCCGUGUUGCCUACUCCUCGGUUGGCCUGGUCGUGGGCUUGUCGGUCUUUCUGGUGUGGAACGUCGUGUACAGACAGCCGUGGACGGCAGCCAUGGGAGGACUGUCAGGUGUUCUGGCACUGUGGACCCUAAUCACCCACGUCAUGUACCUGCAGGACCACUGGCGGACCUGGUUGAAGGGUCUCCGGUUUUUCUUCAUCGUUGGUGUUUUCUUCUCUCUGCUGGCGGUCGUAGCUUUUAUCACGUUCCUGUCCGUCGCCAUACAAAACGACGAAUCCCUGACCGACCCCAGCAGCCUGUACCUAGCCUGCGUCUGGAGCUGCAUGAGCCUCAAGUGGUCCUUCUUGCUCUCCUUGGCCUCCCACCGCUACCGCAAAGACUUGGCCGACAUCAGCAUCCUCAGUGACUUUUGAAGGCCCAUAAACGCCACGCAGUGACUCACUUUCAUCCGGCGGGCGAAGAAACGAUGGACACUCGGGAAGACGGUUGGCGGUGGGAUCCGCAGCUUUUGUUCCCGUUUCUGUUCCCGUGCUUCUCAAAACUCGUCAGAGUGGGUUUUGCACCAACGAUGGCAGCCUGAGAAACAAGAAGAAAAGCACCCCACAGCAUCACCGCGGCGGCAAUAAACGCCAGCCAAUAACCUUGCACUUUGAAGUCAGCCAAUUACCAAAUCCGUAUUUUGAUUUUGCCGUUCGCAGGGCAGGUGGGGGUGGCGCCCGUGCAGUUUUGAUUAGCUUGCUGCAGCCUUCUUUGAAGCUGAUGUGAAGAAUAUAUGACAUAUACAAUAUAUAAGAAUAUACGUUCAUGGUGUUUACAUCAUCAAGGACAAUAUGUGUAGAAAUAAAGUACACAAUGGCCGCCUUCCCCCUUCCCUUACUCCUGCAGCACAUUGUUGUUGUUGCUUUUUUACUUAAUUGCAUUCAACUAGCGUGUUUGUCAGCGCUCGCGGCCUGCAUCUUGGUAAUUGCCAUGUUGUGGUCAAAUCACCAUAGCAACAUUUUUUUUAUCUGCGUCUUAUAAACUUCAACAUUAGGAAACUGAAAUACUAUCCGGCUCAAUUUCCACUGAGCAAGCUGGGCUUUGCAGAAAAAAAUGCAGCCUAUUAACUUUAUACACCAGCCUGUAAAAAUGUGUGUGUACGUGGGAUGUUCCGAGGGGAGGGGUCUUUUAUUCAAUUACAGGACCCCCUUUCUACACAAAUCAAGGAAGGAAGUCGUCUCGAGUGUUGAAUGCGGUGAAACUGGGAACAAUGGUUUUAGACUUUCAAAUAUGUUCGACAUCCAGUACAAUAAAACACCAAAAAGCCACAUAAGAGACUUCAAAUAUAAAACUAUUCUACACUGAGGUUUGGCCUGCAUGCAUGUGACUUUAGGAAGACUAGUCCUAAGAUCUUCUGGCCCAACAGUCUUACAGUUCUUGCCUAUUAAUUAUUUUAUUAUUUUAUAAUUAUUUUUCCUAUGAAUAACCAGUUCCACCAAAAUGCAAAGAUACUUUAACAAAAUGGUAAUGGUUUUAUUUCAUUUGAACAUGCAUCAGAUUACAAUUGAGUGCAUCCCAUAAUCAGUUCCCAGUUCCACAUGUCCGAAAGGAGUAGGAAGAAGCAAAGCUUAUUAAAUCCUACCCCUCCAUCUGGUACUUUUACAAUCACUAACUGUUACAUUUGUUCACUUCCUGCCUUUCUAAUAUAAU